rnacentral:rRNA from 1 species
GGUGAUCUGCCCUGCACUUCGGGAUAAGCUUGGGAAACUGGGUCUAAUACCGGAUAGGAGCCAUCUUUAGUGUGGUGGUUGGAAAGUUUUUCGGUGUAGGAUGAGCUCGCGGCCUAUCAGCUUGUUGGUGGGGUAAUGGCCUACCAAGGCGGCGACGGGUAGCCGGCCUGAGAGGGUGUACGGCCACAUUGGGACUGAGAUACGGCCCAG